UGGCUCAGGAUGAACGCUGGCGGCGUGCUUAACACAUGCAAGUCGAACAAAGAUGCCGGAGUGCUUGCACUUUGGCAGACUGAGUGGCGGACGGGUGAGUAACGCGUGGGUAACCUGCCUUAUACAGGGGGAUAACAGUUGGAAACGACUGCUAAUACCGCAUAAGCGCACGGUAUCGCAUGAUACAGUGUGAAAAACUCCGGUGGUAUAAGAUGGACCCGCGUCUGAUUAGCUUGUUGGUGAGGUAACGGCCCACCAAGGCGACGAUCAGUAGCCGGCCUGAGAGGGUGAACGGCCACAUUGGGACUGAGACACGGCCCAAACUCCUACGGGAGGCAGCAGUGGGGAAUAUUGCACAAUGGGGGAAACCCUGAUGCAGCGACGCCGCGUGAGUGAUGAAGUAUUUCGGUAUGUAAAGCUCUAUCAGCAGGGAAGAUAAUGACGGUACCUGACUAAGAAGCACCGGCUAAAUACGUG
rnacentral:rRNA from 1 species